UACGUAGGGGGCUAGCGUUGUCCGGAAUCAUUGGGCGUAAAGCGCGCGUAGGCGGCCCGGUAAGUCCGCUGUAAAAGUCAAAGGCUCAACCUUUGAAUGUCAGUGGAUACUGCCGGGCUAGAGUCCGGAAGAGGCGAGUGGAACUCCUGGUGUAGCGGUGGAAUGCGCAGAUAUCAGGAAGAACACCGACGGCGAAGGCAGCUCGCUGGGACGGUACUGACGCUGAGGUGCGAAAGCGUGGGGAGCGAACAGG
rnacentral:rRNA from 1 species